CAUAAUAAGAGCUAUCCAACAAAGGUAUAUACAGCUGCCUUGGGGCAUCAUAUUCCAACAUAACAGAAAAUCCUCAAAUGGAAACUAGAUGAUGCCUUGUCAAGGAUGUUAUAGAUAAGAAUCCUUUUCAGCUACAGAUUUAUCUAUAUGAUCUCUGAGGUCCCUUUCAACACUUGAGACUCAUUUUUAAAAAAUAAAGCCAAUCCAUGCCUAAAUACUAUACAACAGGGAAAGCAGGUGCUUCAAUAUAGCACAGCAGCAAUCUAUGUAAUCUUUGUUUACUUCCUUUCGCUUACCUGUACCACAAAUGCAUGAGUACAACAGCAUUGCCAAACAGGGCUAAGAAUUCAUUUUAAAUUUGCUUUACUUUUACUAUGCAGCUGAGACCCAUUGGAUGAAAGCUUGGGGGCAUUGCGUGAAUCUCUGUAUCCUAUCCCAGAGGAGAGAAAAGGGGUCAUAAAGCAUAGCACAUUAUUGCAGCACAGCAAAGGAAUCAUUACACUAAGCAAUAGUGUGAUAUCAAGUUUACAGCUACAUGAAGCUCCUGGGACAGAGCCUCAGAGGCACAAAUUUAUUCCUUAUCAUUGGAAGACUCGGAUCUCAAAAAUCUCACCUAUCUUGUAUCGCAAUUGUAUAACUAUGUCCACAGACCAAUGAGAAAAUCCAGAUAAAGCAUCCAAUCAGAAAACAUAUGAGGAACUAUUGUGUAUAUGGUACAGUAGAGCAUAUAGAGAUUUGGGCUGGUCAGGGUACAGCCCUGUAAUCCCCACCAUCAGGAGACUAAGGUUGAUAGAUCUCUUGACCUCAGCAGCUCUAAAGCAGUGGUGCUCCACCUUUCUAAUGCCAUGACCCCACCAUACAGUUCCUCAUUGUAGUGACCCCAAACCAAAAAAUUAUUUUGGUGGCUACUUCAAAAGCUAUGGUUUGGAAUGUAAAUACCUGAUAUGCAUUAUGGAUUCUCACUGCUACAAAUUGAGAGGUUGAGAACCGCUGCAAACUGUAGUGGGAUAAGUCAAUGGGAUCCACACCAAUUUUGUGAGGGGAGAUGGGGGGACUGAGCUGCCCAAGGCAAGCCAAACUGACUUAGGUUAAAAACAAGACAGGUCAAAGCUCCAGGGUUAUAGCCUAGGUAGGAAAGGAAGAGGCAGAAAGAAGAGAGAAGGAGAGGAGAAGAGAGCAAAGCAAAGGGUCCGCUCCUAAUGGAGCUAACAAUUUAUUUAGAAGGCAGGCUAAACACACAUUGCAUAGCAAGCAAAUAAUACCCCAAAAAGCAUACCUAUUUACCUUCUGUCAAACAGAGGCCUUCCGUGCUACCUGAUUUCAGAGGCGAGAAAGAUCAAGUUGUUAAGGGACUCAAACUGCAAUUAGAAAAGGCCAAGAAGCUAAGAGACCAUGUUACCCUCACCUAGAUAUUCUCCAAUGUGUUUUUCUGAAUUGAUGAAAUGCAGCCCUCACUCCUACAACAGCUGUUAUUGUUAGCUCUUUAAGCUUUUAUAGGUUAUAUCAUAUUAUUUCCUGAAGGGCUUUUAACUGGUACAAGUUUCUGGAGUAUACACUGCUCUGCUGUCAAGAUGUCUCUAUUGGAAAGCUAAUCUUAUAGAGAACAUAAAUGACCGCAUGGACGACUGCCAGUACCAUGUGAUUUGAAGGGCAUGGA
rnacentral:lncRNA from 1 species